AAAUCUAUCAUAUAAGAAAAGUCUACCAUUUGGGACUUUCUUAGGCUAUCCACAUCAGCAACUCUUCUAUGGUUAAUCCACAUCAGCACUGUCAAUUUUCUAUUCUCUCAAUCUUUGAUUCACGUAUCUAUUGUUAUUCCAAUUCCAAAAACGGUUUCAUUCACGUAUCUAUCGCUAUUCCAAUUCCAAAAACAGUUUCACACGUUCUCUUUUUUCUACCGAACUGUUUCUAUUCCAAUUCCAAAACGCUGUCUCUCUUUAUAUCUAUUUGUUUCUUCUUCCUCUCAAUCUUCAUACAAAUCUCUCAUCCACUCUCGAUCGUGAACGGUGGUGCAACCUCUUUCUCAGAUGAAAGGGCGCCGGUUUUUGGUUGAAGGGUUAUGUAAUUGAUGAUUUUGUCAUCGUCGCUCAUCUGUUUCACGAGACAGAAGAAUCAUGACCCGAACUGCAACAAACCAUGGAGUUCGCUCGGUUUCAUCUGUCUCUCUCAAAAUCAACAAGUGUUUCCCUAAAAAAUCCAUGGCUAUGGCAAACACAAACCAUUCUCUCAACCUCAUAAAUGGUUCUCGAAAACAUAUAGCAGAUGCAAUCAAACACAAACAUAAACCCUAACCCCAUAAAUCACCCGAGCCCCAAUUCAAUAUUUUUGAUGUUUGCAAAUUACCAUCAUGAAUCGCUCAAAGGAAUCAAUAAGCAUGCUCAGAUAAUACAUAAAAUUAUUAUCAGGGAAGAAAAAGAUACCCAAAUCAAAAGCCAUAGUGACGAUGGUACACAGGAUUCUAUCCAGCCAUUCAGAAUUUGGAGAGCUGAUUUGAGAUCGAAUUGAUAAUCUGAAAAAUAAUGACUUGGCUGAGACCCAUCGAUACUGAAUGCUUUUGAUAAAGAAAUGGAAGGAACUAACCUCUCAAGGAUUAUCCCGGGUGUAGCUUUUGUUAUUAACCAUUCAUGUGCUUUGAUCAUUAUUUUUGAUUCCAAGUCUUCUACAGCCAAUCUCCGUUACUUGAAACCUGGAUAAUAUUUGGUUUAGCUUGUGAUGUUGCAGUUUUGUGACUGAACCGAUAUCAAUUGACCUGAAUGUUGCAUUGAAAUCUACUUGUGAAUAGUAUGAUCAUUAUUGUGUGAGUAUACAGGUUUUGAGGUUUAUCAGUUGGGGACUAGAGCAGGAACAUUGUUUUUGGAGACAGUUAGAUCUUUUGAUCAGGCUGCUGGAAAGGUUGCAGUGCAUAACCGCUUAUGUGGAAGAACACAUCUCGAAUGAUCUCAAAUCAUAAAGUCAUGCUCACAAUCAUCCAGAAGAAAGAAAUUCACCUAUGCAACGGGCAAUAUUUGAAUAUCUUAAAGGGAAAGUGUUAGAUGUAUAUCCUAAAUAUAAGAAAGAAG